rnacentral:rRNA from 1 species
AAGUUAAACACUUUAAGCAUUCCGCUUGGGGAGUACAGUAGCAAGAUUGAAACUCAAAAGAAUUGACGGGGACCCGCACAAGCAGUGGAGUAUGUGGUUUAAUUCGAAGCAACGCGAAGAACCUUACCAGGUCUUGACAUCCCUCUGACCGUCCUAGAGAUAGGGCUUUCCUUCGGGACAGAGGAGACAGGUGGUGCAUGGUUGUCGUCAGCUCGUGUCGUGAGAUGUUGGGUUAAGUCCCGCAACGAGCGCAACCCUUGAUCUUAGUUGCCAGCAUUUCGGAUGGGCACUCUAGGAUGACUGCCGGUGACAAACCGGAGGAAGGUGGGGAUGACGUCAAAUCAUCAUGCCCCUUAUGACCUGGGCUACACACGUACUACAAUGGCCGGUACAACGGGUCGCGAAGCCGCGAGGUGGAGCCAAUCCCAGCAAAGCCGGUGUCAGUUCGGAUUGCAGGCUGCAACUGGCAGAUCAGGAUGUCGGAACCGUGACUUUCCUUUACCCCCGCCCGUUUGGGUC